rnacentral:rRNA from 1 species
UACGUAGGGGGCAAGCGUUGUCCGGAAUUAUUGGGCGUAAAGAGCGCGUAGGCGGUCCGGUAAGUCGGCUGUGAAAGUCAAGGGCUCAACCCUUGAAAGCCGGCCGAUACUGUCGGACUAGAGUCCGGAAGAGGCGAGUGGAAUUCCCGGUGUAGCGGUGAAAUGCGCAGAUAUCGGGAAGAACACCGAUGGCGAAAGCACUCUGCUGGGCCGAAACUGACACUGAGAGACGAAAGCUAGGGGAGCGAAUGGG